AACGUGGGUCCUGGGGAAUUGAGCCUUGAACCAUGGUCCUUUGACUUCACAGGCAAGCGCUUAACCACUAAGCCAUCUCUCCAGCCCUCCCUGAACUUUUGAUUACGGGGUUUGUGUCUUACCAGGAGAUGUUACAAUCUUGAAGCCCAAAGCACCACCUUUGCUCAGUCCAUCAGCUAUCUAUGAACAUAGGGUGGACAUGUGGCUGGGAAGAAAAGCAUUCUGUGGAAAGAAGGUGGAAUUGCACGUUUGAGGACUCUGAGGCACAGACAGAUCCAGCCUGGCUGCACAUCUUUAGACCCUUCUGACAUGGAGAGCUAACUUUUGGUCUUGUUCAUGCUGUUGGGAUUUUGGUGUUUUGUUUAUCUUUGUAGACAAAAUAAGAUAGGUUGAUUUACAUGUUACAUUUAUUUUAAAACUAUGUUUUAUUAUUUUGUUUGUAUGUUCAUAUGCACAUGGCCUUGUGUGUGUGCAUGCAUGCAUGCCCACAAGCUAUGUAUGUUUUGUGCACAUGUGUGUAUAUGUAGUGGUGGCUGCCAUUUUAUUCUUUGCAAAAUCAGGCCAGUCUGAGAUUUAAAGUUUUGGGACUAGUUUCUUGUAAUUUUUCUAAAUUAUUGUAAGAAAAAUUAUCAAUAUAAAUAGGUUAUUACAUGUAA